rnacentral:rRNA from 1 species
AACGAACGCUGGCGGCGUGCUUAAUACAUGCAAGUCGUACGAGAAAGUCUGGCUUCGGCCGGGCAAGUAAAGUGGCGAACGGGUGAGUAACACGUGGGUAAUCUGCCUUUGAGUUUGGGAUAAGCCUCCGAAAGGGGGUCUAAUACCGAAUGAUAUCUUUGGAUGGCAUCUUUCAAAGAUCAAAGAAGGGGCAACCUUUCGCUCAUAGAUGAGCCCGCGCACCAUUAGCUUGUUGGUAGGGUAACGGCCUACCAAGGCUGCGAUGGUUAGCCGGCCUGAGAGGGUGAUCGGCCACACUGGGACUGAGAUACGGCCCAGACUCCUACGGGAGGCAG